GACGAACGCUGGCGGCGUGCUUAACACAUGCAAGUCGAGCGGAAAGGCCUGCUUUCCCUUGUGGAUUGGGGGUACUCGAGUGGCGAACGGGUGAGUAACACGUGAGUGAUCUGCCCCCAACUUGGGUAUAAGCCUGGGAAACUGGGUCUAAUUCCCGAUAGGACUGCAGGGUGGUGCCUGUGGUGGAAAACGAUUUUCUAGUGGUUGGGGAUGAGCUCGCGGCCCAUCAGCUCGCUGGUGGGGUAAUGGCCUACCAAGGUGACGACGGGUAGGCGGCCGGAGAUAGUGGACGGUAACGAUGGGAAUAGGAUACGUCCCCGGAUCGUACGAGAGGAAGCAGUGGGGAGUAUUGCAGAAUGGGCGGAAGCCAGAUGCCGCGACGCCGCGUGGAGGAUGACUGCCUUCGGGUUGAAAACUCCUUUCGACCGCGAAGGAGCCGCCUGGUUGGAAGGGUGGUGACGGUAGUGGGAGAAGAAGCACCGGCUAACUACGUG
rnacentral:rRNA from 1 species